GCCGCUUCAGCUUUAACGUGUAGCUUCUUUUUCUCAAAAAAAGUUGUUCCGUAUUUUUUUUUACAAAACUACCAAAACAUUAAAGAUCAUACAGUUUUUGGAGGGACGAAAAGCUCUUAGGUAGCAUAACCUAUCCGCCUAGGGUAUAUAACAAUAGGAUUAGGAGAACCCAACUUUAUUCGUUAACAUCCAUGGUCGAAUCCAAAUAGGGUUGAAUCUCAUUGG
rnacentral:lncRNA from 1 species